rnacentral:rRNA from 1 species
AACGAACGCUGGCGGCAGGCCUAACACAUGCAAGUCGAACGCCGUAGCAAUACGGAGUGGCAGACGGGUGAGUAACGCGUGGGAACAUACCCCUCGGUUCGGAAUAACUUAGGGAAACUUGAGCUAAUACCGGAUACGUCCGAGGUUUUAACCGGCCUCGGAGAAAGAUUUAUCGCCGGAGGAUUGGCCCGCGUCUGAUUAGCUUGUUGGUGAGGUAAUGGCUCACCAAGGCGACGAUCAGAGCUGGUCUGAGAGGAUGAUCAGCCACAUUGGGACUGAGACACGGCCCAAACUCCUACGGGAGGCAGCAGUGGGGAAUAUUGGACAAUGGGCGAAAGCCUGAUCCAGCCAUGCCGCGUGAGUGAUGAAGGCCUUAGGGUUGUAAAGCUC